UGCCAAGUCAGCCUGUGCUCCCGGGGAGGCGCCUCAACAGUAGGGGCCCCACCGCUGUUAUGAGUGUCAGGCCGGCUUGUCUAACUGAGAAUGGCCGGCAGAAAUCACGAUGGUUGAAAAACAGGUUCAUCGCCUGACCCCAGACACAAUCCUGCCUGGGGGCAUGGCUUGUCCCGGGACUCCCGUGACCGCUGGACAUGAACAAAAUCAUCAACGCAGCAGCACAUUCUGCCUACCGUUCACCUCUUGAAAUUUGCUUCGUGAACGGGUGUUCUUUUUUGAACUGUUUCUGAUGACCAACCCUAGGACGUUUCUGGAGGUCUUACCUUGUAAAUGAUGCUGCAUGCAGGUUGGGUCUUACCUUGUAAAUGAUGCUGCAUGCAGGUUGGGUGGGGGGACGGCUCCCUGCGAGGAGGCUGCAGCCAGGAAUCCCACCGGCGUGAGGGUUGCACACCAGGUGACUUUUGCAAGCUCUUCCAGCCCAGAGCGCGCACCGAUCCUUGGAUGCAGGAGGUUUCACGGAGCCUUCAGAGGGGUUCGCCUGGAUCGGGAGAUCGUGGUCACGGCUGCAGGGGACCAGGCACUCCAGGACUCAGGGGGGCUCAUUUACUGACUCAUCCUCCCCAGCUCUCUUAGCUGGCCCAGAGUCCAGCUUCCGGGGCCCCAGGAACGUCACAAACAAGCCUGGUCACUGAGG
ensembl:lncRNA